CUUGAUUAUAUUACAGCAUGAUGACAGUGGUUUUAUAACAUUGCUUACAACAAUCGUAAGAUUAUUGAUCAUGCACAGCGAUACUAACUUUAGCAAGGAUACAGCUGGGAUCCUAAACUUGGCAAUCAGAGCCCAGAGCCGAUAAAGUUAGCUGCAUGAGUCUAGCUUCCCCCGGGGCGGGAAUCGAGGCGGAGCAGGGUACAGUACGGAGGCCAGGGAUGAGUGCAGUUGACCAGAUUGUUGACGGAAGUGUCAUAAAAGUGGACUUA
rnacentral:lncRNA from 1 species